CAAUUUUACGAUUUUUUUUCAGAUCAAUGAUAUGAGCAAUGUACUUUCAUAUCUAGUAGGAACACACUUUACAAAAAGAAAAAAGAAAAAAACUUCACAUAGAUAAACAUGAUAAAAGAAAAAGGCACAAACAUACUGAACUCAAAGGAAAAUCAAUUUGGGAUGUUCAUAAUCACAUGGCAAAAUCAAAUAACAAAACACAUAAAAAACGAAUGGACAAGAACUGUCGCAUUCCAGACUUAAUAUAGGCAUUUUCAAAUGUAGAAAUUGUGGAUUAAACCUGGUUUAUAACGAAAUUAUAAAUAAUAAUAGAGGAAAAACUUACCAAAAGUUUUAAUUUGACAAACUAUUGGAGAGACAUGCUAAAUAGUAUAUGUCAUAAUAAAGAUAGAUUUAGUUGAGUAGAUUCAAAUAAUGUCAGUCAUUUAAACUUGAUUGCCAUCUGUAACCAACUGUGCGUUGAAUAGAAAAAUACUGCAAGUGAACACAGAGAAAAAAUUGAAAAAAACAUUCACUCUGUAAAACAGG
rnacentral:lncRNA from 1 species